UAACGAGCGCAACCCUACCUUUAGUUGCCAUCAGGUAAUGCUGGGGACGUCUAAAGGAACUGCCUACGCAAGUAGUGAGGAAGGCGGAGGAUGACGUCAAAUCAGCACGGCCCUUACGUCCAGGGCUACACACGUGCUACAAUGGCCGAUACAGAGGGCAGCUACCUGGUGACAGGAUGCAAAUCUCCAAAGUCGGUCUCAGUUCGGAUCGGAGUCUGCAACCCGACUCCGUGAAGUUGGAUUCGCUAGUAAUCGCGCAUCAGCCAUGGCGCGGUGAAUACGUUCCCGGGCCUU
rnacentral:rRNA from 1 species